rnacentral:sRNA from 1 species
GAUACAAGGGCCAAAAGUCAAAAACCAUUCCUGCUUGCAGGAUAUGGAUUCUGACUUAAUGGCCCGCCCACACAUGAGGAAGAAGUGAUUUUCAUUAGAAAAUCAACGGAUUCCGAAUGGGUGUAGAAUUGUGUGAGUUGCGUAGCAACGGAGCAAUUCGU